UAAGACAGAGGGUGCAAACGUUGCUCGGAAUUACUGGGCGUAAAGCGCGUGUAGGCGGGUCGGAAAGUCGGGCGUGAAAUCCCCAGGCUCAACCUGGGAACUGCACUCGAAACUUCCGAUCUAGAGUGGUGGAGAGGGAAGUGGAAUUCCUGGUGUAGAGGUGAAAUUCGUAGAUAUCAGGAGGAACACCAGUGGCGAAGGCGGCUUCCUGGACACCAACUGACGCUGAGACGCGAAAGCGUGGGGAGCAAACAGGAUUAGAUACCCUGGUAGUCCACGCUGUAAACGAUGGGCACUAGGUGUCGCGGGUAUUGACCCCUGCGGUGCCGUAGCUAACGCGUUAAGUGCCCCGCCUGGGGAGUACGGCCGCAAGGCUA
rnacentral:rRNA from 1 species